rnacentral:tRNA from 1 species
GGGGGUGUAGCUCAGAUGGCUAGAGCGCUGGCCUGUCACGCCAGAGGCCGCGGGUUCGAGUCCCGUCACUCCCGCCA